rnacentral:rRNA from 1 species
CUUGACUGUAGCCUGGAAUUGGGUUCGGGCUUUUCUUGCGCAGCCUAGGUGGGAGGCUAUGAAGAUUUCCUUCCGGGGAAGUUGGAGCCAACAGUGAGAGACCACUCUGGAAAGGCUAGAAUCCUCAUGGUGAUCCUUGAAUCAGGACACUUGACAGUUUCAGGCGGGCAGUUUCUCUGGGGCGGAGACCUCAUAAAAGGUAACUGAGGCGCGCAAAGGUCCCCUCAGUCUGGACGGAAAUCAGACAUUGAGUGUAAAGGCAAAAGGGGGCUUGACUGCAAGACCUACAAGUCGAGCAGGAGCGAAAGCUGGCCUUAGUGAUCCGACGGUGCCGUGUGGAAGGGCCGUCGCUCAACGAAUAAAAGUUA